rnacentral:lncRNA from 11 species
GGAAAAGGUAACGCACCACUCCAGGGCCUGAAAAUCAAGAGAAAAGGGGCUUAUUUAAGGAAGUCCAGUGUAGGAUAGAUUACUCUUACUUACCUGCCCUGGGAAGUGGGGAUUUCUGUCCUCCUGAAUCUGGGAAGCUCCCAAAAAAUGGAUUGUAAACCCCACUGAAAUCCAGGACACAGAAACGAAUCGCAGUUUACCUGGAUUGCACAAGCCUAAUCGAUACAUAGAUAGAUGAUAGCAAAAAUGUGUUUUUCACUAUAAAAUAAUAAUCCUUUCUUUUAGAAAAUAAAGGGCAUACUGCAGAGGGCUAUUCUUUUUUGCCCUUAGGAGGCAGAAAUCUACUACAACUGUCAUCACAUAUGAUUGAUACAACCCACCCUGAGCUAAAGGCUCAAGGAUUUUCUACACCAGGCACUGGGACAGAGUGAUCCCUAUUCACUGAAAACCACUCUUUCUGGACAUAAAUAAUGCAACCUGUUGCUGGGGAAUUUGAUGCCAGCCCUCUUACAUUGUUCAAGAGCCUGCUCUAGGUCACAGUGACACAGAAGCCAUGAGAAACCGGGAAAGGAAAACCUCACCCAUUGACACACUCCUCCUUGGACUUCUCCAAGCUCCACCGAAACAACUCUCUAUAAACAAAGAAGCUUGCCAUUUUGGAUUCUCUCACUGCAGUCUUGUAUUCGGUGCUUGUGUUUCUUGGUUUACAGCAAUGAGGAUGUCUUUCCCACGACCAAUGCUGCCAUUGCUGGGUCUGAUUCUAAGUGGCAUAGUUCUGGCUGCUCCAGGAACAAUCGUGGAUGAGAAACCAAGCUGUGACCUCCCACACCAUCACUGCAGAGUGGGCUACUGUUCCGAAGAAGAAAUCCCCAGCGGCAUGUUUUGUUUUGAGCCUGUCAUCCUAUGCUGCAAAUAUUGGCCCAAGCAAUACAAGAGAAUGAAGAAAAAACAGGCCAUUGCUCCAUUUGGAGAAGUUCUACGUAACCUCCUCUGAUGUGAAACAAAUGUUGCAAAAUGACAUGAGAAAACACAGUGACUUCCUUUUGGGGUUCACACCACUGCAGUUGCCAGAUGGAAAGACUCUUCAAGAACAUUUGUUUAAUGUCUCAAGGUGCCUGUUAUGCUCGAUAAAUGCUCAGCCAGGAUAAUGUAUAUAGCAAGCUUGGAAGCUUUCUGAAAAGUUUUCCCCAUAUUGAUUGACCACCACAAAAGCCUGUUGCCAAAAUUUCUAUGUGCUGUACAUGCAAUUCAUGCAGAGUGCUGCUGCUUUCUGAAAUAGGCAAUUCUAGGUGUUUGGAUGUUUUCUAGGCAGCAAAACCAAUGUAAACAGAACAGAUUUGCAGUUGCUGGAACUUUGCUUAUUAAACUUGGUGAUACUUGGUGAUUCCAAUGUCAGUAGAGUGAUGAUUGGGUAUGAGGAUUCAGAUAUAGAAUCAGCGUUGGAGAGGGCCUCGUGGGCCAUCUAGUCC